rnacentral:rRNA from 1 species
UACGGGGGGGCAAGCGUUGUUCGGAAUUACUGGGCGUAAAGGGCUCGUCGGUGGCCCACUAAGUCCGACGUGAAAUCCCUCGGCUUAACCGGGGAACUGCGUCUGAUACUGGAUGGCUUGAGUUUGGGAGAGGGAUGCGGAAUUCCAGGUGUAGCGGUGAAAUGCGUAGAUAUCUGGAGGAACACCGGUGGCGAAGGCGGCAUCCUGGACCGAUACUGACGCUGAGGAGCGAAAGCCAGGGGAGCAAACGGG